GACGAACGCUGGCGGCGUGCUUAACACAUGCAAGUCGAACGGUGAAGCGCCUUCCUUUUUGGUGGGUGUGGAUGAGUGGCGAACGGGUGAGUAACACGUUAGUAACCUGCCCCCUUCUUCUGGAUAACCGCAUGAAAGUGUGGCUAAUACGGGAUAUUCUGGGUCUGUCGCAUGAUGGGUCUGGGAAAGAUAUUGUUUCGGUGGGGGAUGGGCUCGCGGCCUAUCAGCUUGUUGGUGGGGUGAUGGCCUACCAAGGCGGUGACGGGUAGCCGGCCUGAGAGGGUGGACGGUCACACUGGGACUGAGACACGGAGCAGACUCCUACGGGAGGCAGCAGUGGGGAAUAUGGCACAAUGGGCGCAAGGCUGAUGCAGCGACGCCGCGGGAGGGAUGGAGGCCUGCGGGUUGUGAACCUCUUUCGCCAGUGAAGCAGGGCUGCCUCGUUUGUGGGUGGGUUGACGGUAGCUGGAUAAGAAGCGCCGGCUAACUACGUG
rnacentral:rRNA from 1 species